CUCACGCCUCAGCCCUUCCUCCCUUGGAAGCCACAGGAUGGGUCUGCUUCCUUGCUUGUCGAGAAUUCCUUUUCUUCUUGGAGCUUGUCACUGUCCUGGCUGAGUUUGCAAGUGUCAGCUUGAGGUACGGAAACUAGAAAGUCUGAGAAGAGUCUCCAAGCACGGG